CAACACCUUCAUAAAUGACUUGGAUGCAGGACUGGAAGGGAUAGUAUAACAGCUCUAUGAUUAUUGCAAGACCUUAAAGAAGCAGAAAACAUGGACAUUUGGAGCUCAUUGUCAUUCCACAGGACAUGCCACCUUUCAUCAGAACUAUCAUGGUCUAUCCUAUUCAUAAAGAGAAAACUUUCCAGGGGCUGCCCUGAGCACUGAUGAGCUUCCAUCCCACCUAAGGUAAUAGUAAUGUUACACCCAGGGACAUGAAGAUUGAACUUGCGAGAGUGACAUAGAGUUUGAGAAUGAUGCUCUGAGACAAAAGAACGAAGACUAUCUAUUUACACAUGUCAAGUGGGUAAACUAUGGAGAAACAUUUUGUUCAGUUCCUUGUCUGAAGACCAAAGCAUCUGUAUACAGAAGGUUUUUUUCCAGUUAUGCAC